rnacentral:lncRNA from 1 species
AGUCACUAAUUUGUCCCUUGGAAGCGGCUGCUGGUCUUGGCUGAGCGGCUGUGGGUAGGAGGAAGUGGAUGCGUGAUUCAAGCAUGGAGUUUUCCAAGGAUCUGUCACUAGUGUGCCGUCUGAACAGACAUCGCUGCUGACACCUAAAACCUCUUCUAAGAAACACUCCAAUUAUUCAGAUAAUUGCUUGUGCCUAAGACUGUAUAACCUAAGAGUCGGGUGCAGGCUUGAUAAAGAAUUGGAAGCCCUCUGCAAAACUGCUACAGGUGUUCUGUGUUCCGACGCCCUCCAUCACCUUGGACAGGGGUUCUUCUUCCGGCCCAGUCUCUCCCAUUUCCUCUUUUCUCCCUCCAUCUCCUCCCAUUUGCUUGGCCAGAGCAGAGGCUCGGCUGGUCUAGUUCAGGUAGGAUGGCCAGCAUCCAGUCACUGCCAUAUUCAACAAGGACUUGAGAGCUUCUAGAGAGAGAAAUGCAAGUCAAAC